UACGUAGGGCGCAAGCGUUGUCCGGAAUUAUUGGGCGUAAAGAGCUCGUAGGCGGCUUGUCACGUCGGGUGUGAAAGCCCGGGGCUUAACCCCGGGUCUGCAUUCGAUACGGGCUGGCUAGAGUGUGGUAGGGGAGAUCGGAAUUCCUGGUGUAGCGGUGAAAUGCGUAGAUAUCUGGAGGAACACCGGUGGCGAAGGCGGCAUCCUGGACCGACACUGACGCUGAGGAGCGAAAGCCAGGGGAGCAAACGGG
rnacentral:rRNA from 1 species